rnacentral:rRNA from 1 species
GAUGAGCGCUGGCGGCGUGCCUAAUACAUGCCAGUCGAGCGAACAGACGAGGAGCUUGCUCCUCUGACGUUAGCGGCGGACGGGUGAGUAACACGUGGAUAACCUACCUAUAAGACUGGGAUAACUUCGGGAAACCGGAGCUAAUACCGGAUAAUAUAUUGAACCGCAUGGUUCAAUAGUGAAAGACGGUUUUGCUGUCACUUAUAGAUGGAUCCGCGCCGCAUUAGCUAGUUGGUAAGGUAACGGCUUAUCAAGGCAACGAUGCGUAGCCGACCUGAGAGGGUGAUCGGCCACACUGGAACUGAGACACGGUCCAGACUCCUACGGGAGGCAGCAGUAGGGAAUCUUCCGCAAUGGGCGAAAGCUUGACGGAGCAACGCCGCGUGAGUGAUGAAGGUCUUCGGAUCGUAAAACUCUGUUAUUAGGGAAGAACAAAUGUGUAAGUAACUAUGCACGUCUUGACGGUACCUAAUCAGAAAGCCACGGCUAACUACGUG